GUGAUGCUGUCUUGAGUGGCAUGAGUGUUGUCAAAUAGCUGCUAUACUGGCACUAUAGCAUACCAUAAUUUGUUUAAUUUGCUAUAGUGUCAAAUCGCCAUUCAGUACAAAGUUUUCCCGAACAGCCUAUUCAGUACAAGUGUUGUCAAAUAUGGUGCUAUAGCAUUGUAGUGUAGUGGAGUAUGAACAAAUUGCAUUUUCCGCGAUCUGCAAUUCUAUUGGGAUUGGCGUGAGUUAACAUAUUAGUGUGGUGUUUUGGGCAAAAGGAAGGUGGGAUAUGUGAGCAUGCCACAGUGUAUGGGUUAAUUCUUUUAAGGGGAAUGUGGUGGUUAAAACAUAUGGUGCAAAUGUUUAGAUUUUUCUUGGUUGUAUGACCUUAGUUUUAUUCAACCUUGUAUUAGGCUGCUACUGCUUUGGACCUUGGUUUAAGGUUUGUUGGGGGAUAGGUGAUGUGAUGAACGGCGACAAUGUAAUAUCAUCUUUUGUUGUAAUCAUUCUGCACUGGCCAUGACUUCCAUUUUGCUCGUGCAAAAAAAUAAAACUGGGUUUUUUUAAUAAA